rnacentral:tRNA from 1 species
AAAGAAUUAGUUUAACUUUCUUAAAACAUUAAAUUGUCAAUUUAAAAAUAUUUUUUUAUUAUAAUUUAGAUAUUCUUUA